rnacentral:rRNA from 1 species
GUGGGAGGCUUACCUGCAAGUCGAGCGGGGAAAGGUAGCUUGCUACCUGACCUAGCGGCGGACGGGUGAGUAAUGCUUAGGAAUCUGCCUAUUAGUGGGGGACAACAUUCCGAAAGGAAUGCUAAUACCGCAUACGCCCUACGGGGGAAAGCAGGGGAUCUUCGGACCUUGCGCUAAUAGAUGAGCCUAAGUCAGAUUAGCUAGUUGGUGGGGUAAAGGCCUACCAAGGCGACGAUCUGUAGCGGGUCUGAGAGGAUGAUCCGCCACACUGGGACUGAGACACGGCCCAGACUCCUACGGGAGGCAGCAGUGGGGAAUAUUGGACAAUGGGCGAAAGCCUGAUCCAGCCAUGCCGCGUGUGUGAAGAAGGCCUUUUGGUUGUAAAGCACUUUAAGCGAGGAGGAGGCUACUUAGAUUAAUACUCUAGGAUAGUGGACGUUACUCGCAGAAUAAGCACCGGCUAACUCUGUGCCAGCAGCCGCGGUAAUACAGAGGGUGCGAGCGUUAAUCGGAUUUACUGGGCGUAAAGCGUGCGUAGGCGGCUUUUUAAGUCGGAUGUGAAAUCCCUGAGCUAACUUAGGAAUUGCAUCGAUACUGGAAGCUAGAGUAUGGGAGAGGAUGGUAGAAUUCCAGGUGUAGCGGUGAAAUGCGUAGAGAUCUGGAGGAAUACCGAUGGCGAAGGCAGCCAUCUGGCCUAAUACUGACGCUGAGGUACGAAAGCAUGGGGAGCAAACAGGAUUAGAUACCCUGGUAGUCCAUGCCGUAAACGAUGUCUACUAGCCGUUGGGGCCUUUGAGGCUUUAGUGGCGCAGCUAACGCGAUAGUAGACCGCUGGGAGUACGUCGCAGACUAAACUCAAUGAAUUGACGGGGGCCCGCACAAGCGGUGGAGCAUGUGGUUUAAUUCGAUGCAACGCGAAGAACCUUACCUGGUCUUGACAUAGUAAGAACUUUCCAGAGAUGGAUUGGUGCCUUCGGGAACUUACAUACAGGUGUUUCGAGGCUGUGUUUGACUCGUGUCGUGAGAUGUUGGGUUAAGUCCCGCAACGAGCGCAACCCUUUUCCUUAUUUGCCAGCGGGUUAAGCCGGGAACUUUAAGGAUACUGCCAGUGACAAACUGGAGGAAGGCGGGGACGACGUCAAGUCAUCAUGGCCCUUACGACCAGGGCUACACACGUGCUACAAUGGUCGGUACAAAGGGUUGCUACCUAGCGAUAGGAUGCUAAUCUCAAAAAGCCGAUCGUAGUCCGGAUUGGAGUCUGCAACUCGACUCCAUGAAGUCGGAAUCGCUAGUAAUCGCGGAUCAGAAUGCCGCGGUGAAUACGUUCCCGGGCCUUGUACACACCGCCCGUCACACCAUGGGAAUUUGUUGCACCAGAAGUAGGUAGUCUAACCGCAAGGAGGACGCUACCACGGUU